AGAAGCAGUAGACUAACAAACCCAGAUGUUGCGGGUAGCAAUCGGUGUGAUUUCUUGCACCAGAACUUCCAAGGCUGGGAUUUUUGUAGAUGUGUUAGGGGGCUGACCAGCUGGAAUUAAUGGCUGGCCGCCGGCCGUCGAAGCCAUAGGGCUGUUUCUCUCUAGAUCGCCCAAAUCGCCUAUUCAUAUUCAGUUGUAUUCAAAUGUAUUCUUCAGUUGUAUUCACUUAUUCAGAUUUAAUCAGUUGUAUUUAACUAUUUUAUUCAGCAGUAGUUAGUUGUAUUCAAGUGGAGUAGUGUCAUUCAAGAGCCUCAGUAUGUAGAAUCUUGGCCUUCGUCGUUGUAACAAGUCGUUGAAGAAUUUGAGCAUUCAAUACCAGAAACUUGAGUUAUUAGAGAUUCAUCAUAUUCAGCAGUAGUUAGUUGUAUUUAAGUGUUUUAUACAAUUGUAUUUAGUUGUACUCAGUUGUAGUUAGUUUUAUUCAACUAUUUUAUUCAGCAUAAGUUAGUUGUAUUUUGUUACAUUCAAGAGUUUAUUCAGUUGUAUUCAGUUAUAUUUUUAUUGUAUUCAAGUGUUUUAGUUAGAUGAAUUAAGGUGUAUAUUGGUGUAUUCAACUAUAUUAUUCAUAUGUAUUUCUAUUUAUUCAGCCAUUCUCUUUAUUAUGUAUCUUUCAAAUACAAAUUAAUGAGGGAUCGUUUUAGUUCGUUGUAAAUUAGGAGAAUAUCA
rnacentral:lncRNA from 1 species